UACGUAGGGACCAAGCGUUGUUCGGAUUUACUGGGCGUAAAGGGCGCGUAGGCGGCAAUUCAAGUCAUCUGUGAAAUCUCCGGGCUUAACUCGGAACGGUCAGAUGAUACUGCUUUGCUAGAGUCAGAAGGGGCAAUCGGAAUUCUUGGUGUAGCGGUGAAAUGCGUAGAUAUCAAGAGGAACACCUGAGGUGAAGACGGGUUGCUGGGCUGAUACUGACGCUGGAGGCGCGAAAGCUAGGGUAGCAAACGGG
rnacentral:rRNA from 1 species